ACGUAGGGACCAAGCGUUGUUCGGAUUUACUGGGCGUAGAGGGCGCGUAGGCGGCGAAUCAAGUCAGCUGUGAAAUCUCCGAGCUUAACUCGGAACGGUCAGCUGAUACUGUCUUGCUAGAGUACAGAAGGGGCAAUCGGAAUUCUUGGUGUAGCGGUGAAAUGCGUAGAUAUCAAGAGGAACACCUGAGGUGAAGACGGGUUGCUGGGCUGAUACUGACGCUGAGGCGCGAAAGCUAGGGUAGCAAACGGGA
rnacentral:rRNA from 1 species